GGGAAACUGCCUGAUGGAGGGGGAUAACUACUGGAAACGGUAGCUAAUACCGCAUAACGUCGCGGACCAAAGUGGGGGACCUUCGGGCCUCAUGCCAUCAGAUGUGCCCAGAUGGGAUUAGCUAGUAUGUGGGGUAACGGCUCACCUAGGCAACUAUCCCUAGCUGGUCUGAGAGGAUGACCAGCCACACUGGAACUGAGACACGGUCCAGACUCCUACGGGAGGCAUCAUUGGGGAAUAUUGCACAAUGGGCGCAAGCCUGAUGCAUCCAUGCCGCGUGUGUGAAGAAGGCCUUCGGGUUGUAAAGCACUUUCAGCGGGGAGGAAGGCGUUCAGGUUAAUAACCUUGUCGAUUGACGUUACCCGCAAAACAAGCACCGGCUAACUCCUUGCCAGCAGCCGCGGUUAUACGGAGGGUGCAAGCGUUAAUCGGAAUUACUGGGCGUAAAGCGCACGCAGGCGGUCUGUCAAGUCGGAUGUGAAAUCCCCGGGCUCAACCUGGGAACUGCAUUCGAAACUGGCAGGCUAGAGUCUUGUAGAGGGGGGUAGAAUUCCAGGUGUAGCGCUGAAAUGCGUAGAGAUCUGGAGGAAUACCGGUGGCGAAAGCGGCCCCCUGGACAAGACUGACGCUCAUGUGCGAAUUCGUGGGGAGCAUAUUUGAUUAUAUACCCUGGUAGUCCACGCCGUAACGAUGUCGAUUUGGAGGUUGUGCCCUUGAGGCGUGGCGUUCGGAGCUACGCGUGAAAUCGACCGCCCGGGGAGUACGGCCGCAGGGUUAAAACUCAAUGAAUUGACCGGUGCUCGCACGAGCGGUGGAGCAUGUGGUUUAAUUCGAUGCACGCGUAUAACUUACCCUUGGUCUUGACAUCACAUAGCUUGCAGAGAUGCAUUGGUGCCCUCGGGAACUGUGAGACGGUGCUGCAUGGCUGUCGUCAGCUCGCGUGUGAAU
rnacentral:rRNA from 1 species